UACGGAGGGAGCUAGCGUUAUUCGGAAUUACUGGGCGUAAAGCGUACGUAGGCGGCUUUGCAAGUUAGAGGUGAAAGCCCGGAGCUCAACUCCGGAACUGCCUUUAAAACUGCAUCGCUUGAAUCCAGGAGAGGUGAGUGGAAUUCCGAGUGUAGAGGUGAAAUUCGUAGAUAUUCGGAAGAACACCAGUGGCGAAGGCGGCUCACUGGACUGGUAUUGACGCUGAGGUACGAAAGCGUGGGGAGCAAACAGG
rnacentral:rRNA from 1 species